rnacentral:rRNA from 1 species
UACGAAGGGGGCUAGCGUUGUUCGGAAUCACUGGGCGUAAAGCGCACGUAGGCGGAUCGUUAAGUCGGGGGUGAAAUCCCAGGGCUCAACCCUGGAACUGCCUUCGAUACUGGCGAUCUUCGAGUCCGGGAGAGGUGAGUGGAACUCCGAGUGUAGAGGUGAAAUUCGUAGAUAUUCGGAAGAACACCAGUGGCGAAGGCGGCUCACUGGCCCGGUACUGACGCUGAGGCACGAAAGCGUGGGGAGCAGACGAGG